GCGGCUGCUCUGCUUAGAGAAAAGAGCUCGGAAGAGUUUCCGAGUUACUCCUUGGUUACUCCCACUCCCGCACUUCCUCCUUUAAAAAGGGAACUUGAGAAUGAAGUUCCAGUACAGAAAUCAAUAUCCAUUCUAUAAAAAGAAGCUAUGACCUUGCUGGUAGGAAAUGUCUUAACAUUUCAGAAUCAGCAAAGACACAUGGCCUGCCACUCAAACAGGAAAGGAAAGCAAUUAGCGACAAGCACACCUGCUUCUGAGACCCUGACAGCUGCUCGCUCUCGUCAGGUGGGCCCAGUUUCCACCCAAAUCAAAGGGAACGGUUUUCAAAUUUGUAUCCUGGUGAUUACAAAAUUUUCUUUUUUUAGUAAUAUCUUUCUCUACAAAUAGCUUUAAGACAAGUAUUGUAGCAUUUUCGACUCAUACUUAAAUUAAAGCAGAUGGGCUGGGCAGUAGUGGCACAGGAACGACAGACACACACAAGAGAGACAGAGGCAGGCAGGUCUCUGAAUUUGAGGUCAGCCUGGUCUAUAAAGUGAGUUCCCAGAUGCCAAGGCUACACAGGGAAACCAUGUCUCAACCAAAAUAAAUAAAUAAAUAGAUUGUGCUCAUCCAUACCUUCAUUUCACUUGUACUAUGGAGACUAGUUAAUAGCACUUGAAGAUACUCAAGCAUCUUUUAUUAUAAAGUUAAGCUCGUUCUUUUUCUAAACAACUAUAACAACCUGAUGCAGUAAAAACUACCUCCAAUUAGUUGCUUUGCCUGAAAAUUAAGUCAAAUGCUUUUCUUGAUUUUUCUAUCGUUCUUUUUUUAAUCUCACUAAGUAGUUUUCCUGGAAAACAAUUUAAAUCUUAAAUCGUUUUAAUUCACUUUUCAACUUCAUUACAUAUUAAUUCAAAACCUGCCUACUGAGUUCAUUAUUUCAUUAACGGGUACACUUGAGGACUUAGGGUGGUAUUCUGCGGUAGCAAAGUGUGCUCAAGGCCUUAGGGUCAAUCCCCAGAACCAAACCAACUAACCCACCAAAACUUCAACUUUCAACUAUAAUAGUUUUUGAUAAAGCAAAUUCAGAAGUAAAACCCCAAAGGACACCUGGCUUCUGCUUGUCAACACCACUCUGAAAUGUUUCCUACCCUGUAUCAGGACAGUUGAAAUGACUGUAGCAGCUGCAAGUUCCCUGAGGUUGCAAAACAGACAUUUGGAAAAGGUUAUUUGAAUCACCUUUCAAAAUAACCCACAGCACAGGAGCAGCAUGCAAAGCAAGAACCCAAAGGCCCUUUUUAGCAUCUACCUACCUAAUAGUGUUUCAAAAUUCCCCAGCUAUGCAUAGGUCAACUCAACACUUUCCUUUCUCACUGACAAAACUACAAUUUGUCCAAUGGGGGGUCGAGGUGAUGAAGAUGUUCUCUUUGUUUAGGUUAACAAAUAAGACAUUUCAAAACCCAUCUUGUCUGUAUAAAAUUCCUCUUACAACGUUCUGCUGUUAGGACAUUUUUGUCUACAUCUCAAAGAAAACUGGCUGUGUUAUGACUUCACUUCCGCUAUGCUUUUUUUUUUUCUUUUCUUUUUUUCCGGAGCUGGGGACCGAACCCAGGGCCUUGCGCUUCCUAGGCAAGCGCUCUACCACUGAGCUAAAUCCCCAACCCCCCGCUAUGCUUGUUUUUAUGAAUCAUGUUUCAUAGUCAUCUGUCUGUAGGUCUCUUAUACUAUCUAAUCACUAAUUGUCCAAUGAUGAUAGUAUGAUUUUUUUCACUAAACACAGAAAUAUUCCCAAUUUAAAGCAAUAACUCACAAUGAACAUUGGUGUGCAGUAUGUGGGUUGUGAAGUAAACUAGUGAGAUCACUGAUGUCAUGCCAAGAGUCUUCUGUUGCCACUAACUUAGUCUGACAUGGGCUCUAAUUUACAAACAUAAAAUCAAAUUUUUCCCUGUCCUUUUCUUCCAAAUGUUGCCUCCAUUUAUAAUACCCAUCACCUCUGAAUGGCACUAAAAUGCAGCACACCAUGCACAGCCUACUCAGGAUCAAGCCUACAAAAUCACUAUGAGUAAAAAUACUUGACAGGAAUUAGGCUUUCAUGUUAACAAUAUGUAUGUUAGAGAAAGUGUGAAAAGAAGGUAAGAGAAUCAAGGUUUCAAAAGAGUCAGCAAAACGGCUCAGCAAGAAAAGGUGCCUACUGCGAGCGUAAAGAUGGGGUCCAGAGCAUCCGAGGAGCAACUCCUGUUCAACUGUCCUCUGAAUGGCACAUACCAGUGAGCAUGUAAAAACAAAAACUUAAGGAAAGCAUGAAACUGACAGGAACUGAAGAACUCAGCAGAAAUUGUGAAGGACACAUAAUGUGACUUGAGGAAGAUUAGUCUUGAUUAACCAGAUUAACACUGGAGACAGCCUUGACAUUAUGGAGAAUUUCAGAUUAGUUCAAACCACACUAAAGACUCUCAGAAAUUCCAAGGUGGAGUAGUGGUCUUAAGAACGGAGCAAAUGCUGUCAAACUGGGGUUUCUUAUCCUCUAAGACACAGACAAACUUCACAAUAAAAACAUUCUCUAUACCCAUUAAUCCCACUUGAUCACUGAACUGGUUUACCCCCAGAAACAGAAACAACUUUAAAGAUCACAUCUCGUCAGAAAUGCAAAACAGAAUGUAGCUAAGCCAGGCUCUGUGGAACAUGAAUUCCAGGUCUCAGAAACUGUCGCAGGAGCAAACUGGUCACAGACAGUUUUGGGUCCUGGACAGUCAGGGCUGAGGAUAUUCCUUAGCUUACAUAAGCAAGGCUCUUGGUUAGCUUCCCAUGGACCAUAGCAUACACACCAUAUGCACACAGUGCUCAACGUAGUUCUCAUAUUUACCUAAUUUAAACUACUCACCAAACAAAACCUUGUCUGCAAGUACACGACAGUUGUGUCACUAGACUCUUUCUCUAACACAUCCUUCUCAAUCUACGACUCUCAUCUUUCUGCACUAACCAGCCAUGUCUCCUUCAUGAUAGGCUUUCUACUAUAAUGCAAAGUAGAAAACACAUCCUACUACUAAAACACAUCAAACAUGCAUCUAAAUUACAUAUAUGAAUAUAAUGAUGGCACAACCUAGAACAACCUUCCUGUUAAACGAGGGGGAAAAGAGGGGACAAGAUGUCCAAAUCUUAAGACAAACUAGAAGAUCUGAUUCUGAAUUCUAUCAAAUGAUACAUUACUUAGAGCCAACAUUUUUUACCACUGCUGGAAUAAAAAUAUAAUUUAUCAGAACUGCUAAAACAAAUGUAUCAAGGGUGCAUUUUUAUGCCAAAAGAAUUAACAUUCUCUGAGAAGAAUGAAAUUUCAACCCAAAAAUACUAUGAAAGGAAUUAAACACCACUUCUCCAAAGGAGACUGCUUGAAUGUUCAAGUGUGUUGUUUCAGACCAGGUUCAACCAGCACAGGAGCACACUAAAGCCUCAUCUUUAAACUCUCUAAUAAAUAAAGAGUGCUUGAGACAUAGCUUCACUGUAGCCCAGGGUGAUCCCAAAGCUCAAGGUGACCUUGAACUUUUAACUUCAGCCUGCAGACUGAACCUAAGUGUCAAAAAGACAUACAAGAAACAGAUAAUCAAGUCACAAAAACUUGUAUAACUAGUAUACUUUUCAAAAUAACAAUAAUAUACUUUUCUUGGAAAGACUUUGAUCCGUCACAAAUCUACAAUGACUGAAGAUAUAGAGGGGCCAGGUGUGAUAGUGAACUCCUUCAAUUCCAGCACUGGAAAUCAGUGGUUGGAGGAUCUGAGAAUUCCAGGCCAGCCUGGACUACAUAAUGAAUUCUAGGACUGCCAGAGAGACACCCUUUCUCAGAAAGAAAGCAAGGGGGGAGGAGGAAAGAGAUGGGGAGAGGUAGGAGAGGAGAGAAAGGGAGGGAGAGAAUAUAUACAGUGCAGGGAAAUACCUUUAAAGGGUGUAGCACUGUACAGAAAGGUCAUUUUCUCACUCAAGCCCUGAUAACUUAAUGAGGACUUGUGGAAAGUGAACAGAGCCUACAGUUUCUUUUACUUUUUUUUUCCUUCUCUUUUUUCUUAUUUUUCGGAGCUGGGGACCGAACCCAGGGCCUUGCGCUUGCUAAACAAGCGCUCUACCGCUGAGCUAAAUCCCCAACCCCGAGCCUACAGUUUCUAAGCAGCUUCUUCAUUGAGGUGAAGAGAAAAUGACAAUUUGUAAGAAUGGCGGGACAACUCUUCCUGUAUUCAACAGAUUAAACUCAAAUCACCAUUUCCCAAUGCAAGUCUGAUUAGUAGUAUCCUCUGCUUCAGCAGGUAUGUAAGUGCUUUAAUUCCAAAAGGAAAAACAAUUUUUCACUCACCACCGUGUCCUUACUGUAGUCUCAGCUUAGAUACCAAUACUUGGAAUUCAACAUUUAUUCUAUAAACCAAUUUCCUUACUUGUAAAGGUAAAAGAGUAUUGCUGUGAGAUUAAUUAAUAAAUGUGAUGAAUUAUUUGUUUCUUUACAUUUAUUCUGCCCAUGUUUGUAUAUGUGCAUGUGUGUGGAAGUCAUAGCACACCCUGCAGUUGGCUCUCUAUUGUGAGAGUUGCAAGGAUGACACUCAGGUUGUCAAUAAGCGCCUUUCCCUGAGGAACUAUCACCUCGAUGGAUGUAAGGUUGUGGCUUGUGAUCAGACACAAAUAGGCCUCUAAAAAGGGGAGCACUAUUUUUAGUGCUGUUACCAAGAACCCCGAAAUUUAACGUAUUUUAUAAGCAUCUAAAACCACGUCUCUACCACUACCCUCCUUACUAAUUUGCUCUAUUACUGCCCCACAUUAAACUGUGUCCAAAUUUCUAUUCGCGCAAACUCUCACUUAACAAUCUUCAACUUCUAUUUAGGAAUAAUAUGACGUUUCCGUCUCCAGAGUGAAUGUGGAAAAGCUCUAUGUUCUUCCCCUGAAGCUUUCUUUGAGAAUGCUUUCUCCAGAGGUUUUACUGAUCUCCAAACCCUAAUUCCAAUAAAAGGUUGAUUACCAUGUAAGUCCCUAUUGAAUUUCAACACUGUCCUCUAAGGACUUAGGAUAAAGCUCUGUAGUAGACAGAGUGACUACAGGAGACCCUGGGUUCAAAGGUGGUAGGGUAGAGAGGUGGACCUAACAGAAGAAAAAAAGAAAAAAAGAAAAAGAAAUGCAAUUUAAUCUGCUCACAAUACCCAACUACUACGUACGGACCUUUGACUUUAAGUAACACGUGCAGAAGCAUUCGUUCACUCUUCCUUCCUUAUGCCACCAAAGUUCAGAGAUGUUGUAAAUGGUUUCUGCUAUAAACUUGGUUCAAAUUAAAUAUUACUUGACUGACUCAUGGAGGGAGUGGUCUGACUUCUGUUCUGAGUCAGAAAAUACCCAGUUCAGCAGUUCUCAACUAUUCUUCACUGGUAAAGGAGUUCUGAAAUGCCAGCUUAUUCUAGAUACUAAAUGUAAUAAACUGUUGUCUUAGUAAUACUUUUGCAUCUGAAAUUCAACUGAUAGUACAUUCAAGUGAAUUCUCUUACAUGUGCGUUGUAAUCUCUUGACUUAAUUAGCUGCACAUCCCAAGAGAAAAACUUUUACAAAGUGGCAACUUCAGUUGACUCCUCAGCUCCAAUAAAUACCCCCAUAACAAACAAAAUUCCCAAACAUAAAAGUCUGCUACAUUUCUUUAAUCAGCCUUUCCUCCCAGACAUAUCCCAGGUGCCUCAUAAAAACUGUCUCAAAGCACACACCCUGGGGCCCCAAGACAGUUUCAAGGCAGAAUCUCCUCCCACAUAAAAGCCGAGUUUAGGCCCCCAAAAUCUCAAGUCAGCAUCUCCUACAACCAUCCACUUGUCCUCUCCAUUAGUUUCCACAGCUCUCCUGUGUGCAAGCUGCUAGAUCAUUGUAAGAAUGAGAAAGUUCAAAGUCAGAUAUGCUACUGAGAGAAUAGCUUGGUAUUCUGGAAAAAAAAAAAUCAGGGGCUUUAGAUGACAUUAAUUUUUAAUCCAAUUCUUAUUAUCUGUGUGACCUGGGACAAGCUCCUGAACAAAGUAUCCGCUGUUCAUGUGUCUCUCAUCCCACUGUCACAUCCAGGGGCACAUCGCCACAUCCCUAGUGCCCAGCAAACGGAAGCAUCUCAAAACAACUGCCAACCAAGGGCCACCAAGGACAUCCUCCACCGUCCUGGUUGUGAGAAUUAAGUAUUAAAAAACCACCUGUAGUACAGUAAGUGGCACUUAUUACUAACUACCCCCACCUCCCAGUGAAAGACAAUACUUCUCAAGCAGAGUGUGCUAAUUUCUGAAAAAAAGGACACCCUAAGAAUGCACCAUUAAUUUCUACCCAAGCUUAGCUGGGUCAUGCCUGCCAUCCUAACAGUUGGGAAGCUGCAGCAAGAAGACCACAAAUGCCAGGCCAGGUUAGAGAAUAAGACCUAGGCUCAAAAAAAUAAGUUAGAUAUAGGGAAAAUUUCUAACUUCAAGUAACAUUGAAUUUUGUUGUAAUUCUAUACCCACUAUCACAAAGAACCACCUUUAAAAAAAAAAACCAAAACUUUCCUUAUUCCCAACAUUUUUUGGUAGUAGUAGCACGAGGAAUUAAAUGAGUACUUCUUUACACGAGCCAGUGCUAUACCCCCAGACCCCUUUACUAUUUUUAGAUUAAGGUUCACAAAAUCUCACGCCAUUAACUGCCCUUGACAUCUUCCAUCCUCUGGCCUCUGACUCCCAAGUAGCUUUGCCUACUUAUUCCCAAUACUUUCUAUGAUUACAUCAUUGAAUAUAAAAUCCGUACCAACUACUCUUCAUCUCGGAAUCCCCCCUUCAGCCUACUUUUACACCUAUACUUUCAACACUUGGAAGACUUGAGGCAGGAGGGUCAGAGCUCAAAGCCAACCUGUUAGGAAGAGUUUGAGACCAUACUAUUUGGAAUUUCUACAAGUACGACAAAACAAAUGAAACAGAAGAAUUACUCUGCAACCCCCCUGGAAAAAGGUCAUUAACAACUCUUUCCGAUCAUUCGAUCCGUAACGAAAAAUGUCAGGAUCAGAAAACAAAGCCCUGAUAAUGUGAGUUCUAUAGUCUUAUUUCCUCUUGCGCACUAACAAGGCUGAACUUCUCUCACUUCCUGUCUGAAACUGCUCAGCAACAGAGGGGAGGGGGAGUGAAUACCAUAUACUAAUCCAGCAAUAGCAACUCCAAACUGAAGCAUUUGCUGAAUGCCUACGAUGACGCUAGAUUAGUCACUUAAUACUUCGUGACAAAUCCAAGGACAGACUCAACUAUGGCACUUCUAUAUCGAUAUUUAUGACCGUUUCUUAGGCGCUUUCCUGCAGAAUAAGAGAGUCACUCACUGAUAAAAUACCGCGGUUUACCUCAUUAAAUAUCCUUGACCUGAACACUAAGCAUUUGCCAAAAAAGAAAAAAAAAGUUUAUGCUUCCGAAUACUUUACCGGCAAAAAGUCAGGCUUCUGGACAAGAGUCAAGCUUGGAUGGUUAGCGCUGGGAAAUGGGGGUGGGGAGGACGGCAAAGACAUCUCUGGAAAUUCAUAAAUUACAUACAUUUUUUUACGAAAGGGGAAAGAAGCGCCAGAGAUCAGCGUCUCGGGAGACUCAGAUCCUUUCCUCUUACUUGACUGCAACUCAGGGAUCCCACGCUUCCGCCUGAGUUUAGACCCUGGACGCGAAGGUUCACUAUCAACACAAAGACUAAGGGGCCUCCAGGAUGCCUGUGCUCACGCGCCGGACAAACGCAGGCGCACCCCUGCACACCUCCUCGUCCGCCACGCUCCUC
ensembl:lncRNA